rnacentral:rRNA from 1 species
GUUGCCGGCCAUAGGGCGCGGGACCCACCCGAUCCCGUUCCGAAAAUAAGAGACGAGGUCUCUUAUCGGUAACUCGGAAGUUAAACCGCGCUCCGUUUCCGGUGUUAGUGUGGUCUUCGGCCACGUGAAGCCGGGAAAGCUGGCAGCC